UCUUGCAACCAGCGCAAUGCCUAUUGAUUACUUGCCAUCACAUAAUGGUGGGCACUCUAAUGAGACUGCCCAGGUCAUCCGGGAGGAAGGUGGGGACGACUUCAAGUCAUCAUGGCCCUUACGCCUAGGGCUACACACGUACUACAAUGGUGCAUACGUCGGGUUGCGAAACCGCGAGGUCAAGCCAAUCCCAAUCAAUGCAUCCCAGUCCGGAUCGGAGUCUGCAACUCGACUCCGUGAAGUUGGUAUCGACUACGUAAUCUCGGUUCAUCAUGCCGGGGUGAAUACGUUCCCGGGCCUUGUACACACCGUGCGUCAAACCACGAUCGCUGGUUCAACCCUCCAGAGGUGGUCUACUACUUCGGGGCUUGUUCUUCGGGUGAAGGCCUGGCA
rnacentral:rRNA from 1 species